rnacentral:lncRNA from 1 species
CGCGUCCCCAGCCGGCCGCUCCGAGAGGACCCGGAGGAGGUGGCUUUCUAGAAGAUGACCAUAGAGGACCUUCCAGAUUUUCCAUUAGAAGGAAAUCCUUUGUUUGGAAGAUACCCAUUUAUAUUUUCUGCUUCUGAUACCCCAGUUAUCUUUUCCAUUUCUGCAGCACCAAUGCCUUCAGACUGUGAAUUUUCUUUCUUUGAUCCUAAUGAUGCAUCAUGCCAGGAAAUUCUUUUUGAUCCCAAAACUUCAGUUUCAGAAUUAUUUGCCAUUUUGAGACAGUGGGUUCCUCAGGUCCAACAAAACAUUGACAUUAUUGGAAAUGAGAUUCUUAAGAGAGGUUGCAAUGUGAAUGAUAGAGAUGGAUUGACAGAUAUGACUCUUUUACAUUAUACCUGCAAAUCUGGAGCUCAUGGUAUUGUCUGAUGUGGUGGUGCUGAAGCUACUGGUGGUGAUGGACUCCUUUUUCCCCUCACAACUCAUCAUGAACUGAUACUUUCACAAAAUAAAAUAAAAAUGAAUUUAUAAUACAAAAUAAAAUAAAGCCAUAAAAUAUAAGCCC